GCCCAGCACCGAAUCCCGCGUUCGAUAUCGGACGCCGGGAAAUGUGGUGUUAGGGAGGAUCCGUUUAUCCCGAGAUCGCGCGGCGAGUCCAAGUCCUUCUUGAACGGGGCCACAGCCCAUAGAGGGUGCCAGGCCCGUAGCGGCCGCUGCCGAUCGCGGGAGGGUCUCUCCUUAGAGUCGGGUUGCUUGAGAGUGCAGCCCUAAGUGGGUGGUAAACUCCAUCUAAGGCUAAAUAUGACCACGAGACCGAUAGCGAACAAGUACCGUGAGGGAAAGUUGAAAAGCACUUUGAAGAGAGAGUUCAAGAGUACGUGAAACCGUUCAGGGGUAAACCUGAGAAACCCGAAAGGUCGAAAGGGGAAAUUCAUUCGCGUUUCGGUCGUCGGUAUCGGGCGGUCGUGUGACGGAUGGGGCGCUCGCGUUCCGUCCGCUCCGUCCGUCCGUUUCAUCGGCGUCGAACGCGUGCACUUUUCCCCUAGUAGGACGUCGCGAUCCGUUGAGUGUCGGAUUACGGUUCGCGGUGGAGCCCGCGUGCGGUCGUUUCGGCGGCAUGCGCGCGGACCCGUGAUUUCCCGUCCGACUCGCUCGACGGUAUACAUAUGGCGCGAGGCCGCUACCUUUUCAGUUAGCGUCCGACCCGCGGCAAGCGCGUACGGUGAUCAAGACGGCGAUCGGACCUGGUGCCGAUUCCGUCCCCGGACGACUGUUCGCCGCGCGGACCUCUCGGACAGA
rnacentral:rRNA from 1 species